AGUGAACGCUGGCGGUAGGCCUAACACAUGCAAGUCGAACGGCAGCACAGUAAGAGCUUGCUCUUACGGGUGGCGAGUGGCGGACGGGUGAGGAAUACAUCGGAAUCUACUUUUUCGUGGGGGAUAACGUAGGGAAACUUACGCUAAUACCGCAUACGACCUACGGGUGAAAGCAGGGGAUCUUCGGACCUUGCGCGAUUGAAUGAGCCGAUGUCGGAUUAGCUAGUUGGCGGGGUAAAGGCCCACCAAGGCGACGAUCCGUAGCUGGUCUGAGAGGAUGAUCAGCCACACUGGAACUGAGACACGGUCCAGACUCCUACGGGGGGCAGCAGUGGGGAAUAUUGGACAGUGGGCGCAAGCCUGAUCCAGCCAUACCGCGUGGGUGAAGAAGGCCUUCGGGUUGUAAAGCCCUUUUGUUGGGAAAGAAAAGCAGCAGGUUAAUACCCCGCUGUUCUGACGGUACCCAAAGAAUAAGCACCGGCUAACUUCGUG
rnacentral:rRNA from 1 species